rnacentral:rRNA from 1 species
GAUCCUAGCUCAGGAUGAACGCUAGCUACAGGCUUAACACAUGCAAGUCGAGGGGCGGCAUGUUGGUUGCUUGCAACCGAUGAUGGCGACCGGCGCACGGGUGAGUAACGCGUAUCCAACCUACCCUUGUCCAUCGGAUAACCCGUCGAAAGGCGGCCUAACACGAUAUGCGGUUCACAGCAGGCAUCUAACGUGAACGAAAUGUGAAGGAGAAGGAUGGGGAUGCGU